AUUAAGAUGUCUGAUUUAAGUAAUAAAUUGUAAAUUUAUUUAAGAAAUAAAAAAUUUCUCUUAAUA
rnacentral:tRNA from 1 species